GAGCUGCUGAGGAGUCCCACAACAGGACGAUACGGCUGUCCAGUGC
rnacentral:hammerhead_ribozyme from 1 species